rnacentral:rRNA from 1 species
UACGUAGGGUGCAAGCGUUAAUCGGAAUUACUGGGCGUAAAGCGUGCGCAGGCGGCUUUGCAAGACAGAUGUGAAAUCCCCGGGCUUAACCUGGGAACUGCAUUUGUGACUGCAUGGCUGGAGUGCGGCAGAGGGGGAUGGAAUUCCGCGUGUAGCAGUGAAAUGCGUAGAUAUGCGGAGGAACACCGAUGGCGAAGGCAAUCCCCUGGGCCUGCACUGAGGCUCAUGCACGAAAGCGUGGGGAGCAAACAGG